CUGACCUCGAAUCAGGUAGGACUACCCGCUGAACUUAAGCAUAUCAAUAAGCGGAGGU
rnacentral:rRNA from 1 species